ACCUUUGCCGAUGUCAUCGGCAUUGGACAAGUUCAUUGCGGUGGUGAAGGAGACGAAGCCGCGGUGGGACCUCAGGGCGGCAACACGGUGCCUAGAGGCGGUGCUAGCCCGGCUGCUGCCACCACGUCAGCGCCGCUCCUCCCACUCACGAAGACGGCCUCCAAACCACGGCAUCGACAAUGACGAUGACCGCGACAUUGGAACCGAUCGCGCACUAUCGUGGUUGUUCGUCAAGGGCAUCUCAUUGGCGACGUUGAUGAGGCCGGAGUUGCCGGGUGGCGUUUAUUUCCCUGGAUGCCCCGGUGCGGUGCCCUUCCCCAAGACUCAAGUGCACUCCCUU
rnacentral:lncRNA from 1 species